AUUCCAGCUCCAAUAGCGUAUAUUAAAGUUGUUGCGGUUAAAAAGCUCGUAGUUGGAUUUCUGCUGAGGACGACUGGUCCGCCCCCUGGGUGAGCAUCUGGUUCGGCCUGGGCAUCUUCUUGGGGAACGUAUCUGCACUUGAUUGUGUGGUGCGGUAUCCAGGACUUUUACUUUGAGGAAAUUAGAGUGUUUCAAGCAGGCCCGCGCCUUGAAUACAUUAGCAUGGAAUAAUAAGAUAGGACCUCGGUUCUAUUUUGUUGGUUUCGAACACCGGAGUAAUGAUUAACAGGGACAGUCAGGGGCACUCGUAUUCCGCCGAGAGAGGUGAAAUUCUCAGACCAGCGGAAGACGAACCACCGCGAAAGCAUUUGCCAGGGAUGUUUUCAUCA
rnacentral:rRNA from 1 species